GAUGAACGCUGGCGGCGUGCCUAAUACAUGCAAGUCGAACGAGUUCUUCGGAACUAGUGGCGGACGGGUGAGUAACACGUUGGUACCUGCCUCGAAGUGGGGAAUAACUGGCCGAAAGGUCGGCUAAUACCGCAUGCGACCGCAAGGUUAAAGCAGUAAUGCGCUUCGAGAGGGGCCUGCGUCUGAUUAGCUAGUUGGUAGGGUAAAAGCCUACCAAGGCGACGAUCAGUAGCUGGAUCAAGAGGUUGACCAGCCACACUGGGACUGAGAUACGGCCCAGACUCCUACGGGAGGCAGCAGUAAGGAAUCUUCCACAAUGGACGAAAGUCUGAUGGAGCAACGCCGCGUGCAGGAUGACGGUCUUCGGAUUGUAAACUGCUUUUGUAUGGGAAGAUUAUGACGGUACCAUGCGAAUAAGGACCGGCUAACUACGUGCCAGCCGCUGCCGUAAAAC
rnacentral:rRNA from 1 species